UACGGGGGGAGCAAGCGUUGUUCGGAUUUACUGGGCGUAAAGGGCGCGUAGGCGGCGCGACAAGUCACUUGUGAAAUCUCCGGGCUUAACCCGGAGCGGCCAAGUGAUACUGUAGUGCUAGAGUGCGGAAGGGGCUACUGGAAUUCUCGGUGUAGCGGUGAGAUGCGUAGAUAUCGAGAGGAACACCUGCGGCGAAGGCGGGUAGCUACGCCGACACUGACGCUGAGGCGCGAAAGCCAGGGGAGCGAACGGG
rnacentral:rRNA from 1 species